UGCCAUAUUUAAAACCAGUUAAUGUGGCAAUGCAUUACGCAUCCCGCAAGAGAGAGAGUUUCUAAAUUGAACGGAAACCCUUUUUUGAGUUUGAGUUUUCCUCAUUCUCCGAUCAAUCAAAUCUUCAAGAACAAACUCUACAGCAGGUUCCAAAAGGCGCCAAAGCGUUAGUCAAGCAACGGCGGGGUCUAAUGACUAGCGCCUAGCGUACACAUUAGCGCUCAAGCGCUAUCAACGGUGGGUCAUCACGAUGCUUCCCUUAUCUGAGAGAGGUGUGGACAUGAAGGCCCCCAGCAAUGUGGAGAAUGAUCUUGGUUGUGUAACAGUCUACUCAUAGCAGAAAGAUGAGUAUCUAUUGUUGAGCAAAAUCCUUCCCUAGACAAAUCCUUGGACCAGCCUGUUUAUGUAACUCACAUAGUUUCUUCAGUUAUUUUUUUUUUCCAAUAAAUAAAUAAAAAAAAAAUGUGACAUGUGUCGAUGCUAUUUUUCUUA